GAUGAACGCUAGCGGCAGGCUUAAUACAUGCAAGUCGAGGGGUAGCAAGAUUGUAGCAAUACAAUUGUUGACGACCGGCAAACGGGUGCGGAACACGUACACAACCUUCCUACAAGUGGGGAAUAGCCCAGAGAAAUUUGGAUUAAUACCCCGUAACAUAGCGAUGUGGCAUCACAUUGCUAUUAUAGCUUCGGCGCUUGUUGAUGGGUGUGCGGCUGAUUAGAUAGUUGGCGGGGUAACGGCCCACCAAGUCUACGAUCGGUAGCUGAUGUGAGAGCAUGAUCAGCCACGCGGGCACGGAGACACGGGCCCGACUCCUACGGGAGGCAGCAGUAAGGAAUAUUGGACAAUGGACGCAAGUCUGAUCCAGCCAUGCCGCGUGAAGGAUUAAGGUCCUCUGGAUUGUAAACUUCUUUUAUAAGGGACGAAAAAAGGUCUUUCUAGAUCGUCUGACGGUACCUUAUGAAUAAGCACCGGCUAACUCCGUGCCAGCAGCCGCAGUAAUAC
rnacentral:rRNA from 1 species